rnacentral:rRNA from 1 species
AUAGGGGAGCCGAAGGGAAACCGAGUCUUAAUUGGGCGUUAAGUUGCAGGGUAUAGACCCGAAACCCGGUGAUCUAGCCAUGGGCAGGUUGAAGGUUGGGUAACACUAACUGGAGGACCGAACCGACUAAUGUUGAAAAAUUAGCGGAUGACCUGUGGCUGGGGGUGAAAGGCCAAUCAAACCGGGAGAUAGCUGGUUCUCCCCGAAAGCUAUUUAGGUAGCGCCUCGUGAAUUCAUCUCCGGGGGUAGAGCACUGUUUCGGCUAGGGGGCCAUCCCGGCUUACCAACCCGAUGCAAACUGCGAAUACCGGAGAAUGUUAUCACGGGAGACACACGGCGGGUGCUAACGUCCGUCGUGAAGAGGGAAACAACCCAGACCGCCAGCUAAGGUCCCAAAGUCAUGGUUAAGUGGGAAACGAUGUGGGAAGGCCCAGACAGCCAGGAUGUUGGCUUAGAAGCAGCCAUCAUUUAAAGAAAGCGUAAUAGCUCACUGGUCGAGUCGGCCUGCGCGGAAGAUGUAACGGGGCUAAACCAUGCACCGAAGCUGCGGCAGCGAACGUAUCACUUAAAACGAUUCAGAAGCUUACGAUUGACGGAGCGAAGCGACGUCAAAGCGUAUACAAAGUCGAGUCGGUUUAAGGAUACGUUCGUUGGGUAGGGGAGCGUUCUGUAAGCCUGCGAAGGUGGCCUGUGAGGGUUGCUGGAGGUAUCAGAAGUGCGAAUGCUGACAUAAGUAACGAUAAAGCGGGUGAAAAGCCCGCUCGCCGGAAGACCAAGGGUUCCUGUCCAACGUUAAUCGGGGCAGGGUGAGUCGACCCCUAAGGCGAGGCCGAAAGGCGUAGUCGAUGGGAAACGGGUUAAUAUUCCCGUACUUGGUGUUACUGCGAAGGGGGGACGGAGAAGGCUAUGUUGGCCGGGCGACGGU